GACGAACGCUGGCGGCGUGCUUAACACAUGCAAGUCGAACGGUAAGGCUCCAGCUUGCUGGGGUACACGAGUGGCGAACGGGUGAGUAACACGUGGGUGACCUGCCCUGCACUUCGGGAUAAGCCUGGGAAACUGGGUCUAAUACCGGAUAGGACCAUGGUGUGGAUACUGUGGUGGAAAGUUUUUUCGGUGUGGGAUGGGCCCGCGGCCUAUCGGCUUGUUGGUGGGGUAAUGGCCUACCAAGGCGGCGACGGGUAGCCGGCCUGAGAGGGUGGACGGCCACAUUGGGACUGAGACACGGCCCAGGCUCCUACGGGAGGCAGCAGUGGGGAAUAUUGCACAAUGGGCGGAAGCCUGAUGCAGCGACGCCGCGUGGGGGAUGACGGCCUUCGGGUUGUAAACUCCUUUCACCAUCGACGAAGGGUUUCUGACGGUAGAUGGAGAAGAAGCACCGGCUAACUACGU
rnacentral:rRNA from 1 species